CAGGAAUACUCCACACGUCUUAAUUCGAUUAGUGCUUAAUUCGAGUAUGACCUUAAUUAGAUUAAGUUGGACAUUUGAGCUGUCAAUCCAAAUCUCACUAGCCAAUGAGGGAAUAUUGUUGUUAAGCCCUGCCCACAGACAACAUGGAGCAAGGCUGGCCGAACGGUCUGUGACGCCCUAGAAGAGAUUAGACCAUGGGCCCUUAACAGAGGAUGCUGCGUUACAAGACACAAUACUAAAAACUUGACAAAUGAAAUGAAUGAAAGAUAUCAUGUUAGAAAUAUCAAAUGACAUUGAAAGGACUUACGUAAUAUACCACUGCACUGGUCUCAGUUAUUCACAGUUGGCACAUGACUUCCUCACUGUAUGCGUGUCCGGUAGGUAGAGAUGCUUUGGGCCACAGUAAUCAGGGUAUUGGUUAGGGGAGAUG
ensembl:lncRNA